AUGAAGGCUCAGCUCUUAUGAGCUGGCUCAGCACACCACCUGUGAGAUGGCUCCAAUUCACACCAGACCUCAACAAGACCGAGGCUUUGGUCUGAGCCUGAAGGCCCCACCCUUAGCCCCAAGCAAGAGGGGUCCUGUGUUCCUCUCCAGUUCAGAUGAGGCCUGAGCUGCCUUUGCGACCCCAUCCUGAGUACCCCAAGGCCCUGGGAUUUCUGCAGCUCCUGCGCCAAAGGUCCCACGAGUGAGCACUCCGUGUCUUCCUCUUCGAUGUCCUCUGCCUGCGGUGCUGUGCUCCGUGUGGGGGCAGCCAAGGGCACUCCGUGCAGGAUGUGGACGCAGCAUGGCCACUCGGACUGCGGGCCCAGCAAGAGCCCGAAGCCCCCUUUCCAUGGGGGUGAAGCCGGAGGCGGCAGAGGGAGGCAGGGGGUGUGGCUGCAUUUUGUCAGGAAGCAGAGAUUUCUAACCUUGAGUCUGAACGUCCAGGCUGGUGUGAAGUCUGUCAAGGCGGGAGCACGGAGCGCACUCUGCGAGUUCCACGGGGCGGCGUCAGUCGGGGCGGUGGUAUUUAACGCCAGGACCCGCAGUGCGUGGGCCUCGCUUGAGCUCCAGGCCCUGCCUGCCUUAGGGCAUCCGCCGGGUGGGCUGUAUUUAAAUGCUUGCACAUGUGGUGCCUGGGCCUUGACAGAGCUCCAGGGCCUGCCCACGAUGGUGUGCGGCCCCCAUGCUGUCCACCUGCAGGCUCCUGCUGGAUGACAGGCACCUGUACCUCAGAAGCGUCCGCACAGCCCCCGCCCAGGGCGGAGGCCUCUUUCUUGCAUCUGCGCAGGGCUGGCUGCUGCUGGGCGCUGGUGCCGUCCGCCGGGUGGGCUGGAGCAGCUUCGAGCUGGGUCUGACGUGCGCAUCAUUGCCGGGCCCCACUUCCCUGGAGGGAACUGCAGGCCGGGGCCCCCGCGAGCUGGCCCUGUGCUCCAGGGUGAUCCUGGAGGACACCGCAGGCCGGGGCCCCUGUGAGCUGGCCCUGUGA